CCCCCAUCCAACACUAACUUUAUCAUUGCUGCACAAAAACACAACUUUACGUCCUCCCAGCAGCACCAAGUAUUCCCUGUCGUCAUACUGGGCUCUGUCGGGAUCUGGUGCUGUAUUCGGACUGUUGAACCAGCAGUUUUAUGGAGAACCUAACUAUAAUACUAAUAUAAUAGUAAUAACUAUAUGUAGGUCAUAUAGAGGCAGCAGCUUUAUAAUGUGAUACAGAGAAUGAGGUUAACGUAUUAACAGUGACAGUUGUGUGCUGGUUGACAGGAAGUAGCUGUAGAGUCGAUCCACCUGUGACUGAUAAUAACAACCACACUUUAUUUUUAACUGCUGCAGCUGAAGGAAAUCAGACAUGUUAUUUAUAAAGUACACUGUUUAAUUAUAGAUUAUUGAUUGAAUCAGCUCCACAUAGAACAUAGCUCUAGAGUUUAUACUUUGUUAUUGAUUAUAGAUUAUAGAUUUAAGUACGUAUCCCUGAAUAUCCUCACAGGGUUGUGUUGGUUGCUGCAGUCGUAGUAUUUAUCUGUACUUCAGUCAAACUGUCUGAUGUUGCACCAGCGUCCUCUCUCUUUGAUCUCAGGUGAGACACACCUGAGAUUGCUGUAAUCCAACACACACACACACACACACUUCCCGCCCAGUUUAUAGCAGUUUGGACAUCUAAUCUGCACACACUCAUUAUAAAGAUAAGAUUGUAUUCAAACAAUAGAAACAUUUUCUCCAGACGUGAUGAUCACCAGCACAGCUGUAUGUAGCUAACAGCUAACAGCUAGGAGGAGGGUCAGAGGAUGUUGUCAGAGAUAGAAUAUAAUGUUGAUAGAAGCCCAGAAGGGACAAACCAAACACUGACUCUCGACUGGAGAUGUGUAGUUUCAGUUCUUGAAACUCAUGAUGGUCGUCCAAUACAGACGCGAGCUGUAUUCAUCUGGUUGAAAUCUGCAACUUAACGGCUAGAUGCUACUAAAUCCUACACACGGGUCUUUUAACUAAUGUGAGGAAGACUCAAACUGUACAGUAACUGUUAAAGUGUAACAGGACAGUGAAUCUGUGGUUUCUGCUCACAUUCACAGGGAGGAAAAAUCUUAUCAAAUAACACACACAGUCUGUGGAUUCUUUAGAAGUGAGUAAUUCCUGGGAAAAACAUCUGACAGGAAGUGUGUGUGUGUGUGUGUGUGUGUGUGCAUGUUACAGUGUGUGUCUGUGUGUGUGUGUGUGUGUGUGUUACAGUGUGUGUGUUAUCUCAAACCUCGGACUGACUCAGUGUGUGUGAGCUCUAACUAAUAAAAAACAAUCUG
rnacentral:lncRNA from 1 species